AUGCACCACAAUCAGGAAAGUGAGCUCUCACGAAGAAAGAAAGCAGGUUGGUGCACAUUCAGUUCUAUCAAGGAUGUCCUCCAAGGAAAAAUCAACAAGGCAACAUGCACCAGCCUCUUCAACUCAACAGCACUGCCAGCAAUGUUAUAUGGCAGCGAAACAUGGGCUCUGACUAAGACAGAGGAACAGCAACUGUGUCACGGAGAGGGUGAAAGAAGGAAGAAUUUCAAUCUGUGACCGAGUCCCCAGUAAAGUGACAGCAGAGUGGAGUGCAGGACGUCGUUGUUGAGAGCAGGCAUAGUAAAAUUUGAUGGACUGGGCAUAUAGCCAGGCUCACUGACAAUCGACGGACUGCAGGUGUCGUGGAGUGGUACCCAUGGGAACUGAAACAACCACUUGGCUGACCUCCAAAGAGAUGGGAAAAUUUUAUUGUGAAAAGAUAUGGCUGCACAUGGAGAAGGAAGGCCAGGAUACGAGAAGAAUGGAAGACGUGUUGAUUGGCGCAGUCUAUACGAGGGCUGAAGGACUAAUCGAACAAGCAUUUGGGACAGAAUCUAAGUAGACUCAGAGUUUGAGCAGCUCCUCCCCUCAGCUCAGGAACAGCACAACAGGUCCAAGUGGGAGAAAGGCAGGAACAGCAGGCAGCUGCCACCCUCUGGUUUCAAGGAAGCAAUAGUUUCUAUCAUUCUGGAAAUCCUGGGCCAAAUUCUUCAGUGGCGUAUGCAGUCACAACUUCUCCUGACAUCACGAGAGCGCUAUCCACUUACACCAUAAAUGAUUGACCCUGACUACAUAAGAGGCACACCCCACACAGUUACAGCAGAGAAAAAAACAUGACAGACAAGCAACAGCUGAUGAGACGAAACUCACUCUUACUUUCAAGCUGAACACAACAAACAUGGAUAAUUAAAAGGUUAGGCAAUUAGAUCAGAUUACAGUAAAUGAAGUAUACUCCCUGCUGCCCUCCUCAUCUUCUUCCAAAUACGGAUCUUAAUCAUUAUGAAAUGUGUUUACACCAGAGUAAACAUAAUAGCAUCUGCAUUGACUGAUAUAAAAUCGGAAUCAAGAGAGCUAAAAUUAAGAGCAAGUUGGUCUUGUACUUAAAUCUUCUAUUUUAAAUUUCUCAGUUGUAAUGUAAUUGGACCUACUGGAUAUUAACUCAUUUCCCUUUUCUACCAAGUGCACUAAAUGAGAAAGGAAGAGUCUUUCCUGUCGUACAGGCUUUUAUACUCAAAUUUACUUCAAGGCAUAGGUCAUCCUUCAUCAUAGCUUGGAUUGCUUCUAAUAAUGCUGCAAGCAUUUUACUGCAAGACAGCAAAAAUCUUGAUUAUUAGCAAUUCAGAUUUUAA